rnacentral:rRNA from 1 species
GACGAACGCUGGCGCCGUGUUCUAAUACAUGCAAGUCGAGCGAGCUUGCCUAGAUGAUUUUAGUGCUUGCACUAAAUGAAACUAGAUACAAGCGAGCGGCGGACGGGUGAGUAACACGUGGGUAACCUGCCCAAGAGACUGGGAUAACACCUGGAAACAGAUGCUAAUACCGGAUAACAACACUAGACGCAUGUCUAGAGUUUGAAAGAUGGUUCUGCUAUCACUCUUGGAUGGACCUGCGGUGCAUUAGCUAGUUGGUAAGGUAACGGCUUACCAAGGCAAUGAUGCAUAGCCGAGUUGAGAGACUGAUCGGCCACAUUGGGACUGAGACACGGCCCAAACUCCUACGGGAGGCAGCAGUAGGGAAUCUUCCACAAUGGACGAAAGUCUGAUGGAGCAACGCCGCGUGAGUGAAGAAGGGUUUCGGCUCGUAAAGCUCUGUUGGUAGUGAAGAAAGAUAGAGGUAGUAACUGGCCUUUAUUUGACGGUAAUUACUUAGAAAGUCACGGCUAACUACGUGCCAGCAGCCGCGGUAAUACGUAGGUGGCAAGCGUUGUCCGGAUUUAUUGGGCGUAAAGCGAGUGCAGGCGGUUCAAUAAGUCUGAUGUGAAAGCCUUCGGCUCAACCGGAGAAUUGCAUCAGAAACUGUUGAACUUGAGUGCAGAAGAGGAGAGUGGAACUCCAUGUGUAGCGGUGGAAUGCGUAGAUAUAUGGAAGAACACCAGUGGCGAAGGCGGCUCUCUGGUCUGCAACUGACGCUGAGGCUCGAAAGCAUGGGUAGC